UACGAGGGGUGCAAGCGUUAAUCGGAAUUACUGGGCGUAAAGCGUACGCAGGCGGUUGAUUAAGCGAGAUGUGAAAGCCCCGGGCUUAACCUGGGAACUGCAUUUCGAACUGGUCAACUAGAGUCUUGUAGAGGGGGGUAGAAUUUCAGGUGUAGCGGUGAAAUGCGUAGAGAUCUGAAGGAAUACCGGUGGCGAAGGCGGCCCCCUGGACAAAGACUGACGCUCAGGUACGAAAGCGUGGGGAGCAAACAGG
rnacentral:rRNA from 1 species